CAAUAGCGUAUAUUAAAGUUGUUGCAGUUAAAAAGCUCGUAGUUGGAUUUCUGGUGGGAGCGAUCGGUCUGGCGCUUAGCGCGAGUACUUGCAUCGUCUCCGGCCAUCCUUGGGGAGAGUCUGUCUGGCAUUAGGUUGUCGGGCAGAGGAUCCUCAUCGUUUACUGUGAAAAAAUUAGAGUGUUCAAAGCAGGCUUAUGCCGUUGAAUAUAUUAGCAUGGAAUAAUAAGAUAGGACUUUGGUACUAUUUUGUUGGUUUGCGCACCAAAGUAAUGAUCAAUAGGGACAGUUGGGGGUAUUCGUAUUCCGUUGUCAGAGGUGAAAUUCUUGGAUUUACGGAAGACGAACUACUGCGAAAGCAUUUACCAAGGAUGUUUNCAUUA
rnacentral:rRNA from 1 species